CAAAGGAGUCCAGACUCUGCCUUGGCCCAUCCCUCCCGCAUCCGUUGUGAGGCCUUCCCUUCAGGAGUUACAAACGAUGCAAAAACUGAGUCUCUCACUGUGCUUUGGCCAGGCCUACCACCAAGCGGCGGUAGAUGUGUCCCAGGACUUAAGAAAUAUGCCUGAACACGGGCAUCUCUGCAGAUCAGCCACUGUUCUAAAGCUCUGCACCAUUUUAUCUCUUUUCAUCUUCACAACACUCAGUAAGACUUCCUUGCAGCCAGAGGUGGUCAAGUGACUCAAUGUAGCCCAUGAGAUGUGAAGCAGGAGCAGCCUGAAAAAGAGAGGA